ACCUUUGAAGUGUUCUAAGUGGUUUUUGAUAAGAUUUAAUUUGCCGAAAGACUUUUGAUUUCUAGCGACAGUAAAACAUUCCUGAUUCACAUUAGGUAUAACUAUAAUCAAUUGGCUGUACAUUAUAUCUCAAAUAACUAAACUGGUUGUCAGAAAUUGUCCAUUUUUGUCAAGUUGACCAUUUGAAUACAAUUUGCCAAAAAUAAACGAUUUUUAUCAUUUCAGUUGGCUGCCUCUUCAAUUUUGUAUACGCCGAUUCUUAAUGAAUGGUCAACUGAGACAUCUAACAAAUCGAUUGGGGGCAAUUGACUCCCCCCUAGUUCGAAAUAGAAAAACGCUUUUAACACCAGCAGAGACGACGGUGGUUGGAAAUUCAGCAAUGCGUGAAAACCAAUGAAAAAUUGAAAUAAUAGAAAGCUUACCCCCCCCCCCCCAAGUAGUGUGGUACAACAAAGACACUCGUGUUUGAGAAAACCCUUUAGCACCAGAAUUGGUCAUCAUUGAACGAGGGAGCACAGGUGAAACCAAUGGCCGAGGUUAGUGUAGUUUCAGCAGCCAAGCGGUACCUAUACAUUAUGCUCCGCUAAAGAAGGACUCUGCGGCGGAUCUGCGAAAGUCAAGACAACUUUCCCAAGUCUGAAAGCCUAACACGGGGAUACACGGUCAACAACAUCUAACAUCAAUAAUAAUUCAAUCCGAGAAAUAAGAAGCAAUCGUCGUUAACCGAAUACCAAUCCGUCCACCGAUUGGCAUUUUAAAUUUUGGAAUGGUCUUGGCCAUCACAGGCGAAGACGGAGGUGGUUUAGUAGACGCGGCAUCUUGCCUGCUACGAUUCUUAAUGACGCUGAUGACCGUCUCAAUGAGUGUCAACUCCAGAAAGCCAGAAGGCUUGGUCGUAAAAAUGUUGGACGGUAAAAGUAGUUGACAUCAUAGAAGCACACCAUCAGACAGCGGUUAGAGAACCUGUACGAUCGCCAUCUUCAGAAUACUAUGUCAGAUAUCAGACAUUUUUAUCAGCUGUAUCUUAUUAUCUAUCGCAAUCCCAUAGAAUCGGGUUCGGUGUUGAAAUGGCCACGUUAAUUAACCAUAAUAGCAUGUUAAUAGGUGUAUAUUAUUUGUAGCAGGUAAAUCAU